rnacentral:lncRNA from 1 species
GUUUGGCCAUUCGACACACCGCAAGACAAAGGCUGAAAAGCCCGUUUUGCUCACCUCCGACCACCGCGCGUGGCAAGGCCGACGGUGGCGCAUCUGGCCAGACUUGAGAAGGGACUCCCUUUUUUAGAAAUAGAGAGAAGCGAACCCUUUUUUUAUUUUUUUAUUUUUUCUUUGCUGCUGAAUGAAUUUUUGUUAAAAAAAUUAACUUAAAUAAACUUUUCAAAACGGCGCCGUUUUAGGCUUUUCUGACUCGCGCGGUGACCCGACCCAGGGGGAGGAUCCGCGCGUUUUCUGCAAAUGGGAUAUUUGCACGCGUAGUCCCUUCGACUUUGAAGCGCGUUGCAAUUCGGCCCUCUUUUCUAUUUUCUGUUAUUUUUUAAUUUAGCCCCAUAAUUUUAUUUUUGUUUUAAUUUGGUUCACUCCAGUGCACCGUUUUUGAAUGCUUGGUUUAUUUGCAGUUUUGGUCCCCCUCUUUCGGCGUGCGUCACGAUUUAGUCCUUGUUUUGUUUUUUUAUUUCGAUUUUGCCUAGUACUUUUGUUUUUAUCCCUAUUUAGUCCAUCCGUUUUAUUUUUGUAUUUUAUUUUUAUACGUAUACGUUCAUUAUUACAUUUUCAUAUCAUAUUUUUAUUUUUGUAUUAUUAUU